rnacentral:rRNA from 1 species
GAUGAACGCUGGCGGCGUGCCUAAUACAUGCCAGUCGAGCGAACAGACGAGGAGCUUGCUCCUCUGACGUUAGCGGCGGACGGGUGAGUAACACGUGGAUAACCUACCUAUAAGACUGGGAUAACUUCGGGACACCGGAGCUAAUACCGGAUAAUAUAUUGAACCGCAUGGUUCAAUAGUGAAAGACGGUUUUGCUGUCACUUAUAGAUGGAUCCGCGCCGCAUUAGCUAGUUGGUAAGGUAACGGCUUACCAAGGCGACGAUGCGUAGCCGACCUGAGAGGAUGAUCGGCCACACUGGAACUGAGACACGGUCCAGACUCCUACGGGAGGCAGCAGUGGGGAAUCUUCCGCAAUGGGCGAAAGCCUGACGGAGCAACGCCGCGUGAGUGAAGAAGGUCUUCGGAUUGUAAAGCUCUGUUAUUAGGGAAGAACAAAUGUGGAAGUAACUAUGGACGUCUUGACGGUACCUAAUCAGAAAGCCACGGCUAACUACGUG